GAUCACUAAUUUUCUUUUAAUGUUAAACGUGAGUAAACAGAUUGAUAUUUAAUGUAUCUAACUGCACAGUUAUUAUAAAAAUGUUAAUUAAAUUUGUGUGAACUUGCAGUUGCUAGGAUAUAACAUCCAGUUGAAUUUAUUAAACAAUCUGACAACAUUGUAUGUUUUCACCACCUUCUAUAUUAGCCUGAAUUUGGACAUUUUCAUCACAACAUUGAUAACACUAAUUGGUUAAGGCUUAACCUUGAAACCGCCUAGAGGGGACGCCCAAGCCGAACCGACGCCAACAACAACUGCAGGCGCAGCGCAGAUCGUGAGUGCAGUUCCCGCGUUCGCAGUGACACCGGGAAAGGAGUGGAGCGGCCUCAGAGCGACUAGCGUCAGGCUCCAGCGGAUGCAGGGGGAAAAACCUUACGCCGAGAGACCAGACGAAUGGGAACAAGCUACAUAGAGCUAAGAGAUUAUUUCUCAAAGUAUUUUUUUUUAGUUUAUUUUUUUUUGUAUUCAUUAGUUUUAAUAUUCUAUCUUGCUUAACUUUUCGUUAUUAUAGUAUAAGUUCAUGUUUUUCAUUUAAUAUAUAAUUUUAGUGUUUUGUUGUCGAUACGUGAAUUGCGUACGAAUUUAGAGGUUAAGUGUAAAGCAUGUUUUUUGUUCAACAGAAAUCGCGGUGUAAAGAUAAGAUCGCGACAGAUUAUUCUUGCCUGUUACACACAAGGCUUUGUAAAGGAAAGUCACUAGACGAUAGACUUUGGCGUUAUACAUAAUCAUCAUAAAGCGCAUAAAAUUAGUGAGUUAGCGCGACUCACGCAAACAAGUCGAAUUUUGUUUAUUGUGCGAAUCGAGCUACGAGUGCUCGCGUUGAUUUAUUCUUUUCUUAUUAUUUACAAGUAAUGCGCGAACUGCAGAAAGAAUUGCAGAAAUACUAUUUUUUGUUGUUUAUUGUCAUAAAGUUUAUUUUGAAUAUUACGUUUCUUAUUUCUUAUGCUUUUUGCAUGUAUUUUAUAGUAACCUAGUAUAAACAUAGCAUAUAAGGUAGUUUUAAGUGAUAAAACAGCUCCUGCGUGAAAACAGAAAAAGUGCAGGCGGUGGCACCGAAAAGUGCACCUGUAUUUGAGAGGCGGCGUGCUUUUAAACAUAUGGCAUAUAUCGAUACGCAUCCUCAGAUGCUCUGAAUACACUUUGUGUGAAAAUCGGACAGCAGAUGUGGCAAGCGCCACAGUCAAAGAUGGAAUAACCUCAUUGGUCCGCGAGUAAGGAGUGGGGAGCUUCAGCAGCGGCACUGCCACUCGUGCCAGGAUUGGCGGAGACGACCUGGAGGGGACAUCUCACCAUCCGCUACACACCACAGCACGCUAUUGGCCGAGAUGUCGGGGGAAUGAAAACCUGAGCGCUGAUUGGUCGAGCGUUACUGGAGGGGCACGCCGGUAUAAAUCGGGACGCAGCGGCAUCCCUCCAGCUUGUUGGAGCCCGAGAUCGUCACGGGUAACAUCCCGCGUAGUUUUAACUCGCGAAAAAAGAUUAGCUUAGUGCAAUCAGACAAGUUCCGCGGAAGCGCAACCGCGUUAACAAUAGAGUCACGACCGUUCGCCGAAUGCGAGUAGGCGACGGGGAACUAGGAUAUACAAAGCCUAGCACCGAACGAAUAAAACGCGCUCAUAACGAAACGUUUGUGAAAAAGCGACGCGUUCGGGCGAGUGUUCAUAGCGCGACAGCGCAUAAGUAAGUUGCGAAACGAAUGUGAUAAGGCGACGCGUACGGGAGUGCUGUUAAUAGGAUAAGUGUUACGUUUUAAUAAAUAAUUUAUUUUUGUGAAUAUAAAACCAAAUACACAGUGUAGUGAAUACUUACCUGUUUCUUACCUGCAUGAGAUCCUACGACGAAUCCGAGGGGUUCCUGAAAAUAAAGUCCUGAAUAUUAAACAUCCGGGGUAUCCUGUUCAUGCGAAAAGUAUAUACCAACGUACCUGAGCACAUCCUUGGAGGGACGAGGCGAUCCGGAGAGUCAGCGGCGAUCCGACGGCAAAAGCAGCAUUUCCUGAAACAAAGAAAAAUAAAGAUUAUUCGAACCAAUAGCAAAGUAGAUACGCUCGUGAAAGCGUAGAGUGCUAAAAUUAACAUUUGGUGAAAGUGUUGUGCUGAGUUAUUAUACCAGCGCAUAUAUUAUUUAUCCGACGGCAAACGACAGGCGGUUAACGCAGCGAGCGACGGACGGAGAUUCCUUGCUUCUUGGUGGUAAAAGGAGCUGGCGAUCAAUAGGACGUGGACGAGAGUCUUCUAAAGGUUUGUUUUCUUGAUUUUCCGAAGCGAAUUUGUUACCCAACGAGGUGAUGAUCGGUUACAACCUAAGGUUUAAAAUUAUUUCUUUCUUUAUCUUACCAAGAGAUACGAUAAAGAUAGAAAUAAUUUCAAAUCUUAGGUUAAGCUUUAACCGGAGAAUGAAAAAUAGAGCUUUAAUCUUUUUAUUCGUAUCAAUACCUAUAGAUAGAAGACAGGACCCAGUCUUAUUCUUUUAAUAUUCUAUCUAAAAAUGUUUUAAUCUUUUACUGUUUAAUCACUGGGAGCAAACCCGCCACCUCAGCUAUGCCGGAGCUAGAGUCCGUCAUUCUAGCGAUCCCGACAUAAUAUUUAUUAUAUUUUUUUAAAUCUAAGUACGAUUUUUUAUUCGAUCAGUAGUGUGCUGCAACCACCUUUUAAUAAUCAUUUCAACCUCAUUCUUAGGGACGUUUUUUAUUUUUGAUAUAGUUUCUGCAACACAUAACAUUUUAUUUAUAUAAUUUGGCAGAGUCAAAUCCUCCAAUCAUUUUUAUUUCGCGAAUCUGUUAACAUAAAAAAAUAUAUAUCAUUCUUAUUCACAAUGCAUUUAAAGAAGGUAAUUAAAAAAAAUAUGGUUAAUAAUCUGCUUACAUAUGAUUUUUGUACUUCUAAAAACUUGAGAUUUUGUUCAAAUUCUUCAAAAUCUUGGACAGUUUUUAAAGGUAAGUUUGGCAAAAGACUCUCCUUUUCAUUUAUCAUUUCAGAUAUUCCUUUACUAUUUUUCGUUAUAUUAAUAAGGUGAUUUAACUUCGUGUUUAUCAAUUUAUAAUACUUUAGAAAUCGCUCUUCGGUCAGUGAGAUUCAAAGUCAGUGACAUUAUAAAAAAAUUAUUAAAGUGAUUUUCUAUUGUUAAUUUGUCUUAAAUUUUUUCGAACAAUUCAGUUAUUCAGUACAAUUGUUCAGUAACAAAUAAUAACUUACUACAUCUAUAGCUGCGAUUUUUCACUUCCACUUGAUAUGUCGGGUUAACAUUUUCAUUAGCAUUUGUGGCUACAAAAAUAUAAAUUUUUUUUAAUUUAAAAAUCAAACUAAGAAUCAAAUCACAACUUUAAUUAAUAGCUUAACUUAUUCUGUAUGUGCUUUAAAUAAAAUAAUAUUCACAAUUUUUAAUAUAAUUCAUAAAUGACACUUUAAAUAAACUUAUUCUUUAAUUUUAGAAACUUUAGAAUACUAUUAAUGUGUAGAAUAAUUUUAAACAAUUUGUCCUUCAAAAGGUAUAUUCUUGAUUGUAUUCUUAAACAAUUUUUUUUAACACAAUUUAAAAUCUAGUUUUUAACACAAAUAAUAAAACUAAUUCUACGUCCAACUAGAUUUUUGUGCCUAAUAUUUGCGUUAAAAUUUAUUUUAAACAAUACACAAAAUAAUAUCAAAAAUAUAAUCUUAAGUAAGAAUGAAACAAUAUACAUGAUAUUAAAAUUUAAUAAUUGUGGUAGUGUUCUAACUUAUCCUAUAUGAAAAUCCAAAGACUAAAACUCAAUCUACAUAAACUUAAAAUCUAUUGCAUAAUAAUUAUACAGCCAAGCACACUUGUGCAACCAAAAUGUCGAAUUGUAUAUAGUUGUCACAAUUAAUGUCAUUUUUAUAAUGUUUUUUAAUUUUUUAUAAAGUUUGUAAAACUUUGUAGUUACGAGUUAAAAAAAUGCUUUAUUUUUAAGACAAUCACAUUUUGUCAUUUUAUGCUUAAAAAAACUGGGCUGACCGUACAAUUGUUAUUCAAAUUAAAUUCAAGAAACAAAUUGAUGGAAUAAAUUAAAUAAUAAACCGUAAUAAAAUAAAAACACAUAUGUAAAGAAUUAACGUAUGUAAAGAUUUUUAAACUUACAUGUUAUACUUUUAAUGCUAGGCUGUUUUGAAGGUUUUGAUUUCAAACAUGCAAGUAAAGAUCCAGGCAAAGGUUCUUUAUUAAAAUUGGCUUUCGGAAGUUUAGCUUUAUAUUUUUAAAAAUCCAAAUCAAAUGAUUUUAUAAA